rnacentral:rRNA from 1 species
AUGAGUUCGAGGUGGACGAGGAGGGUGAGGGCAUUGUCGACGCACCGAAAGGAAGAGCGGGCAAUUACACCAACGUCGAUAACAUCUUACUAUGCAAUACUUGGUUGCAAGUGUCGAGGGAUCCAUCCGUUGGAGUACAACAUUGCGCAAAACUUGUUCAAAGAAGAGGAGAGGACAACCAAGAAGGGGGAGAUCAAGAAAGGAAGGGUCUUUACCUUGCCCCAUUGCUAUAACGUGUUGAAGGAUGAUGAGAAAUGGAAGAAGCGUGAAGAUUUGGAUGAUUUGCAUUUGAGCAACAAACGCAAGCGAACAAUUAAGUUGGAUGAUGACGAGGAGGAGGAUGAUGCAUCAAGUGAUGAUGGCAAGAGAAGCCCCACACCCAACUCGGUUUCAUACUCGAAGCCAAAGCGACCGGAUGGGUGCAAGAAAGACAAAACCAAAAAGAAAAAGAGGAAAGGAGAUGAUGAGCUCAAAAAUGCUAUGCAAGUUAUUGUGAAGGCAAGAAAAGAAGCCAACGAGGUGAGGAAAAUGGCAAGGAACCAAGAUGCCGCGGCCGAGGAGAGGAGGGUGGCGGCCGAGGAGAGGAGGGUGGCGGCCGAGGAGAGGAACGUGACUUUGGAGGAGAGGAAGGUGAGCAAUGAGGAGCGAACUAGAUUGUUGGAAUGGGAGAAGCACUUGUUCUUGGACACAUCUAACCUCAAUGUGACGGCAAAGGAGUAUGUCAAUCUUGCCCGUGAAGAAGUCUUGAUUCAAAAAAGAGUCAUGGUUCGUGCAAUGGGUGGCGGUGGCCUCGGCACAAUGGGUGGCGGUGGCCUCGACGCCAUGGGUGGCAUGGGUGGCUUCGGCGCCAUGGGUGGCAUGGGUGGCUUCGGAGAUCUUGCCAACACCAUCGGAGCUUCACGUGAUGCGGUGCGCGAUAAGGAGAGGGAGGAAGAUUCAUCUUCGAAGGCGGAAGAAUCGUCUUCCGAAGAUGAGGACGAGGACGAAGACGAGGACAAGGAAUGA